CAGUCCUCUGGCUUCAGUCUCUGUCCUCCAGUAAAUGCAAAUAUCCUGGAACAAGCGGCACCAUCAAGGGAGCGCAAAGAACCGGAUACUAGUACCAGUUCCGGUGCCGGUUCCUGAGAAACUGUGGGGCAACCUCCUCUAACUGGUCACAGGACACCUUCCUGAGGGACCAUCGUGGGUGGCCAGGACUCCACGGUAAACAGGUUCCUCUGUCCGUGGGAUUCUCCAGGUAUUGGAGUCAGUUGCCGUGCCAUCCUCCAGGGGAUCUUCCUGACCCAGGGAUCGAACCUGCAUCUCCUGCAUCUCCUGCGCUGGCAGGUGGGUUCUUUUCCACUAGCACCACCUGGGAAGCCUGCAACAGAACAUCACUCAGCCACAAAAAAGAAUGAAACACUGCAGCAAUAUGGAUGGACCUGGAGAUGAUCGUACUUAACUACGAAAGCCAGAAAGACAAAGACGAACACCAUAUGAUGUAACUUAUAUGUGGAGUCUAAAAUAGGACUUAAGGGAAGACACCUAAGAAACAGAAACAGACUCUGACAUAGAGAACAAACUUGUGGUUGCCAAAGGGGAGGGAAGGAUUGGGAGUUCGGGAUUAGCAGAUGCAAACUAGUAUAUAUAGAACAGAUAAGAAACAGGGUC
ensembl:lncRNA